UUCAGAGGCGGCGCUUGAGAAUAACUUAGAGCAGGCCUGGCCGUGUUCUGCGGGGCUCUACACCCCAUCCCUGCUCACCUGGGGUUUGGUUUUGCACCGAGACCAUUUCCACUGUUCGCGUUUUGCCCUCGGGACAUAGGGAAUUGAUGCAAUCACCUGGGGAAAAGCCAGGGGACGGGGCCACACAUCUUCCUCCUCCAGGAUCGUACCCGCUGACCUGAAUUUUUGUCACGCGAACACAGGUGUUCGUCCCCCACUGGAUCAGCUACGCUCGUGUCUCAGCGCCCUGGUGAACAGACAGCUCUUCUGCCUGAACUCAGCUUCCCUGCUGCCCUUCGCGCCGUCUCCCCGCUUCUAAGGGAAUUACCCCCCUUUCCUUCGGUGUCCUCAUUUCCCUACGGGUCUGCACCCCCAAACACUGUCCUGAUUUCCCAUGUUUAAACAGCCUGCCCUGGAAAUGAGGAGGUGAAAAGAAGGACGGGUCAACACCACCUCUCCUGGCCUGGCUAUCGCAGUUCUCCCUGGUUGAUAUGUGGCUCGGGGAGCGGGUAUUUGAAGGAUUCCUCUGUGUCUAUGGUCUCGCUUCAAUUACUCUCUCUUCCCCUUCCAAAAGAAAUACCCCAGAUGUGAUAUUUUCCGAUACCUGAAGUGCUUGUCAUCCUUUGCAAUUUUGCUUGUAGCUGUCUAGACACACAGAGUUUCUUUACACCUUGACGGCAGUCGGCAAACAAUUUGCUACGAGUGUUUCCCCCCUCUCCCCCCCCCCCGAGGCAAAUGCUUUGCUAGUUUUAUUUCACUUUUAAUGCGCGUUUUUUUUAUGAGUUAAGUGGGGUUGGACAGGCACACCAAAAGAUUGUGUAUUAUAGCUGAUUUUUCAGUUGUUUCCUCUCUUCCCCCCCGCCCUGUUUUGAGACACGGACGUGUGUAAAUCCCUGCGCAUGUUCGGUUCCAUUUGGUAGAUGUCGCGGUAGAAAAUACUACUUCAGUUUUAUCUGUUUUUAAACGAUUUUAUGGAUUAGCAAGCCAGAUGGGAGUGUUUUGCUGUUGCCGAACUGAUUCUGUUAUGUGCGUCCAGGGUUUGAACAUAGGAUCGCUUUGCCUCGGGGGUAAAAGGGCUUGGAGCUUUACUGCGUCUCAGCUGCUUUGCAGGAACUGCUCACGUGCACCGUCCUACCCUAUGGUAAGCGGUAGUUCGCUGCUUAGCCUUCGAUGGAAAUGGGAUAGUUAGCCACUUAGCCUUUGCUAGAAAUGGGGUAAGUUCCUGUGAGUUAACUUCUACUUACCAGGGCGAGAGCGGGCAGUUUCUGUGCAACAGCUGGCACCUGGUAGAGUCUUAGUGCCUUUUUACCCCAUGGUAAGUUGUUCAUAUGCCCAUGCCCUUGGAAGAAUCCUGAUUGCCCCUUCCAGCCCUACUUUUCUAUGACUUCUCUUGUCCCUGGAAAGUAGCAACACAUUCAGUCUGCAUUUGUUUCCAGAAAUGUUGAAGGCAGCGCGAGAGAGACGGGUGCUGCUAGGCGAGGAGCGCUGCCCUAUGUUUUCACAAGGGACUAGUGAUUUUUGUCGGCAUAACCUGAGAGUGCUUAAAAGGGAGUGAUUUUCUCAGCAGGAGCCCAAGGAAGUUGUGGAAAUGUGAAGGUGCAUGGACGUUGGCCAUUCAAAAGUCAGCAGUCACUUUGGUAACCAGAACGAGUUUUAUUAAGGACAAUGUUUCUUCCCAGUGUUACUGAAAAUGCUGUAGCUGUUAUAAAUGACCAAUUUAAAAAAAAAACCCACAAAGAACAACCCCCAAAAUUUGCUUUUCACUAAAUCUUGUUCAUCCAUCUCUUGCAUGUCUCGUGCUCAUGAAAUAGUUUUGUGUUGGGUGCUGGUUUCUCGGCGCUGCGGGGAGCAAGAGGAAUGCUUGGCUCCGAAGUAGGAGCUUUUGGAGAGAUGUGGAUGCGAACGGGGAUCUGUUACUAUUGCGGCAGGAUCAGCUCUUCCAGGCUCCGGAAGUGGGCUGCACAAUCUGUUCUGCUAAUGAUAUUUAAAGUGUGACCUCUCCAGCAUCUCCUUUUCUGCUCCACGGUUCCUUAGCGGAGGGUGCUCCUGAAGCCAACGGGAGAAGCUGGCACGAGCUGCUGCAGUGGUCCCCGGUGCAGGCUGGUGGUGACACUGGCAGCUGGGUAGAGAUGGAGGCACAGCACUACCCGGGCUGGCAGGCCCGGGGUUCAGUUGGCAGUGGUGGUAGCUGAGAAGGCAGCAGCCCUGUGACCAGCCAGGUCCUAGUGACAAUGCAGGCAGCACCAGGAGUGGCAGGAAUAAGGCCUGGCCCUGGCAGCUGGCAAGAGCGGAAGCUCAGGGGUGAGUGAAAGAGGCAUCAGAUGGGGGGCAGAGAAACAGCCCUUGCACAGCACUCGCACUGGGGGUGCCCCUUCCUGCACCCCGUCCUGUCCCGUGGAGUUGGAGACUGGCAUUGCCCUUUUUGCCUUGCCUUCUCCCCUCUCUCUGCUCUGCGGGAAGCUGUCUUGGCUUGUUAGGCCUCUGCACAGGUGAUGCCUUGUCUUGAAAGCACGCGGCUGGGCUUUUGUAUGUUAUGAACCCUGGUUUUGCACCCUUCAAAUCACCGUGCAAAUGCAUGUUCCAGCGGGAAGCAAAGGUGUGGGAGGGCUUCUGGUACCGUUUUCUGCUAGGAGUGUCUUUGUCCCUAGUGAUAGCAAGGCUGCUCCGGGGAAAGGAAGCAUGUACUUGCUGGAUCUCAAGGGACUGGGUUGAUCUGCCACAUCCCAUAAGGGAUGUCUGUCCAGGUCGGAGGACUCGUGGUGGUGGGGAUCAGGGUGAGUCAAGGACCUUCACGUUGCUAGUCUUGUUUCUCAGUGUGGAGCUAUACGUGUGUCAGCAUGGCACCAGGCUCUGUCCCCUCCUCUCUCCCCAGGAUCCUUCCAGAGCAAUGAACGCUGCCCGUCGGCUUGUUAUAGCCCCUCUUCAUGCCGCACCAAGCCUGGACCAGGCCACCCAGCUGUGAACCUGGAGCACAUCAGCACCGCUUCCAGCACGUGUUUGGCCAUAAUUCAGUUUUGAAAAAAGAAGAGGUGUUCCUGAGCGAGCCCCGGACAAAACCCAGGCCUGUCUCCGUAUCCAGAGAAGCCAUCCCUUCGCUCAGGCUCUGUUCCUGACUCCCCAGCCAGCCAAGAGAGAGGUGCUGAAGCUCAUGUGGUUACAGCAGGCGAGCAACGGGAGCUUCACGAGAUGCAGACUGACAUGGCAGCAAGACGGUUAUCAGUGCAUGGAGGAGAAUCCAGGGACUCAUUCAUUCAUACCCUCUGGCAGGGUGAGCUCCCAAAAAGGUAGGGGAAGAGCUGCGGUCUGUGAAAGUCAAAGAAAGGUGGGUCCGGGCUUUUAAAUUUCUCCCCUGUUGGCACAAACUCCUGGCUGGCUGGCAGUCACUUUUGGAUAGCAACUUGAAAGGCAGGCGGGUGCAAGGCGGCUCUUGCACCCAAAGGCAGGCGGGUGCAAGGCGGCUCUUGCACCCAAAGGCAGGCGGGUGCAAGGCGGCUCUUGCACCCAAAGGCAGGCGGGCGCAAGGCGGCUCUUGCACCCAAAGGCAGGCGGGCGCAAGGCGGCUCUUGCAUUUGGGCACGGCAUGGUUGGACACUGCAGUGCCCAAGGCGGACCUGCAGGUGGCAGCACCGGUGCCGUUCUCCAGGCCGGGUGGUGUGUUACCAGCUGGAGUUGAGGAAGAAAGAAUAAUUCAGAGUUGACCUUUGGAAGCAACAGAAAUAGAACAUAAUGUUUAAAGGAGAGGAGACAUGCAAUCGAGAUGAUUUUAAGAGCCGUUUAUUAAAUGAUGAAAAGAUGCUCUCCUGGAUUUGCAUAUAAAUGACCGUGCAAGCGGUGUCUGCAGGAGUGCCGGGAAGCCCAUCUGCUGCUGGGAAGCGUCCCUGCCUCGGCAUGGGGGUGUGUGGGGCUUGGAAGGUGAGUCCGGGUUGCUGUUGGGACCAUCCCAGCUCCCCAGAGGUGAGGCGACGAGGCAUGUGCGGUGCCUUCAGCAGAUGAAGGGGACGUGAGUUUUAAUGAGAUGACUUCCGAAUGAGCACAUCUGCUGGUGCUGGAGAGGAGUCCG